rnacentral:rRNA from 1 species
AUUGAACGCUGGCGGCAUGCCUUACACAUGCAAGUCGAACGGUAACAGGUUAAGCUGCCGAGUGGCGAACGGGUGAGUAAUGUAUCGGAACGUGCCCAGUCGUGGGGGAUAACUGCUCGAAAGAGCAGCUAAUACCGCAUACGACCUGAGGGUGAAAGCGGGGGAUCGCAAGACCUCGCGCGAUUGGAGCGGCCGAUAUCAGAUUAGGUAGUUGGUGAGGUAAAGGCUCACCAAGCCGACGAUCUGUAGCUGGUCUGAGAGGAUGACCAGCCACACUGGGACUGAGACACGGCCCAGACUCCUACGGGAGGCAGCAGUGGGGAAUUUUGGACAAUGGGCGCAAGCCUGAUCCAGCCAUGCCGCGUGCGGGAAGAAGGCCUUCGGGUUGUAAACCGCUUUUGUCAGGGAAGAAAAGGUUCUGGCUAAUACCUGGGACUCAUGACGGUACCUGAAGAAUAAGCACCGGCUAACUACGUG